rnacentral:rRNA from 1 species
UACAGAGGUCCCAAGCGUUGUUCGGAUUCAUUGGGCGUAAAGGGUGCGUAGGUGGCUCCGUAAGUCGGGUGUGAAAUUUCGAGGCUUAACCUCGAAACUGCAUUCGAUACUGUGGUGCUUGAGGACUGGAGAGGAGACUGGAAUUCAUGGUGUAGCAGUGAAAUGCGUAGAGAUCAUGAGGAAGACCAGUGGCGAAGGCGGGUCUCUGGACAGUUCCUGACACUGAGACACGAAGGCCAGGGGAGCAAACGGG